GCUAAUACCGCAUAACGUCGCAGACCAAAGAGGGGGACCUUCGGGCCUCUUGCCAUCGGAUGUGCCCAGAUGGGAUUAGCUAGUAGGUGGGGUAACGGCUCACCUAGGCGACGAUCCCUAGCUGGUCUGAGAGGAUGACCAGCCACACUGGAACUGAGACACGGUCCAGACUCCUACGGGAGGCAGCAGUGGGGAAUAUUGCACAAUGGGCGCAAGCCUGAUGCAGCCAUGCCGCGUGUAUGAAGAAGGCCUUCGGGUUGUAAAGUACUUUCAGCGGGGAGGAAGGGAGUAAAGUUAAUACCUUUGCUCAUUGACGUUACCCGCAGAAGAAGCACCGGCUAACUCCGUGCCAGCAGCCGCGGUAAUACGGAGGGUGCAAGCGUUAAUCGGAAUUACUGGGCGUAAAGCGCACGCAGGCGGUUUGUUAAGUCAGAUGUG
rnacentral:rRNA from 1 species